rnacentral:rRNA from 1 species
GACAGAGGUGCCAAGCGUUAGGCGGAAUCACUGGGCUUAAAGCGUGUGUAGGCGGACUGGUAAGUACCUUGUGAAAUCCCACGGCUCAACCGUGGAACUGCUCGGUAUACUGCUCGUCUUGAGCCACUUAGGGGCUGUCGGAACAAACGGUGGAGCGGUGAAAUGCGUAGAUAUCAGGAGGAACACCGGUGGCGAAGGCGGGUCUCUGGGCCGAUACUGACGCUGAGGAGCGAAAGCGUGGGGAGCGAACAGG